rnacentral:lncRNA from 1 species
CCACUGCGAAACCAGGGAAAGGGACAUGCACAACUGGGGCAAUGGUCCUGGAGAUGAUCAAGGAUGUCGAGAUAGCGAUUUCGUGCAGGAAAGGCCGGUCGGGGACUGCUGCCGGAGAUGUUGCAUUCCCAAAAGAUGUAGCUUUCCCAAAGGGAAAAGAGAACCUGGCGUCCGUCCUGAAACGGUACAAGCGACGGCUUUCAAACAAGAAAUGAGAGUGCAGCUGGUAGAGAGCCUCUAGAAUUGGUCAAGCUUAGAAUGUUUUGAAGUUGGUGACUCAGAUGAUUUUUAAAAGAGAUGGAAUGUGAAACGAGAAGAUUGUUUUUUUUUGGGUCUCUGGUUUCUCGAUCUCACUUGUAACAGAAACAAACGAUACAAACAGCAGUAGAGAUUGGUGACUGCCUUUUGUCUUUAAUCUAUGUCUCAUAUCAUGGACCCGCUUCUGGUGCUGAAGCAAUUAUAACCAUCUGAUCACUUUUUAUUCAGCCAUUUCUAAUUUAACGGCUCAAAUUUUGGUGGGCUAUUUGGGAAUUACAUUUUCCCUAGUAUUUUUUAGACUAAUAUAACUUUUUGAAUUUAAGUUCAAUUUUUAUGUUAGUUUUAUAGAAAGACUUAUUUUUCAAAGAAGAAUUUAAUGAGAUCAAUAUUGAUUUUAUUUUGAUGAAUUUUUUAAAAAUACAUGUUUUUAUCUUAUUCCGAGCAUAUCUCUUCCGUUUUAACCUUCUUGAUAUGGAAAUGUUCGUCUUUCAAACACGAAUAUAAUAAUAACAAUAUUGGGAAGUAUUUGAGAAAUUUUAAAAAUGUGUAUUGUUAGAAGCGAUAUCUCGUAUUUUGAGGGGGAGUUUAUCACUUCAUUUUGAGGGAGACUCGCCGUAGGUCAUAUUCCGUCGUUAAAUGUAUAUAUUAGGAACAUGAGGUGCUCCAUACCUCCAAGUUGUUAAUAACUGCAGGAAGUUCCUCAAUAAUUACGUCCAAAUUUCUGAUAACUACAUUUUCUCCUAUAUAUCUAGCUUACAUUUAAGUUGUUAAUAACUACGGCUAUAUUGCUAAUACCUACUUCUAAGUUGCUAAUAACUAUGUCUACUUCAAAUUUUCUAAUACCUACCUCUAAAUUAGUAAUAACUACCUCUAAAUUGGUAAUAACUACGGAAAGUUUCUCAAUAAUUACGUGUAAAUUGUUAAUAAUUACGAUUCUCACCCUUAUAUCUACCUAUGUUUAAGUUGCUAAUGCAUAUGCGUAAGUUGCUGAUGCAUAUGUGUAAGCUUCUAAUAACUACGUCUACCUCUAAGUUGUCAAUAACUACAUCAAAGUAGCUAAUAACUACCUCUAGAUUGGUGAUACUUAAAAAGUCUAGUUUUGAGCAGUCAACCUACGUCUUUGACCUCAAUUUUUUUUUGUCAAACCCUAUCAAUAUUGUGCUAGUUUGAAUUGCCUUUGAAAAACUAAGAUUUUGGUGCGAAAAUUAUUAGAAUCCGAGUUCGUAUGUAAAAGAUAUUGAUUUAAUAUAAAAUGGGGGAAUUUUUUUUCCCCGAUGAAUACUUGUAGGCUUUUAUUCAUCGAUUAUGCAGGCUUUCAAAACUGGACAGCACCGGCGUGAGGAGUUCAGUAUAUAAAUCUAUCUACUAAAAAAUAGUCAAAGGACUAUCUUCUACCACUAUCUACAACUUUCAUAUCUCUACAAAUGUUUUUAGCAAUGUUAACCGCCGGAGUUGUAGCUUUCCCCGCAUUUCGCCUACACCUCUCAUACCACACAUUACUAUAUAUAGCUCUCCACAUAUGUCUAGAAGAACGACACAGAAGAAUCAUCACUAGAGUACAAAUUUGCAAUUCUUGAAACUUCCUCCUACAAACUAGGCAUGCAGUAAGAGCAAUCUCCUUGAUAAUAACUUUUGAUUUGCUUCACAAAAUCACAUCCAGCAAAAAGAUGAUCCAAAUCAUCAAUUUCAUCAUCACACAUUAAGCAAGAAAUAUCAACAGUCAUACCCCAGGUAGUCAUUUGAGCUCGAGUAAUCAGCCUUCCCCGAAUUACAAGCCAAAUGAUGAAAUAUUAUUUACUGAUGGCAGGUCUCCCCCAAACCAAUCUAUACCAUUCAACUUGAACUCCCUUCUUCCUCACUGCUUCCCAGACCAAAGAAACCAAGUAUCUUGACAUCAAUUACUAGGCUAGUUACUGUUGGAGAUUUCACUCAACAAUGGGUACCGAAAAGGUGGUUCCUUUCCUAGAAACGAAACCUUGUUGACAGAACACAAAAUCGUUUGUUCCCAAGAAGUAAGGGAGUCACAAGGACUACUUAAAUCCCUACAACCUUAGGAAUCAUUUCUUUAGAAUACCCAAGUUGAGAACUUCGUGUACAACAAUGUUCCAGAGAACUUAGGGGGGUCUUGGAUCGUGACGGAAUUGUGGAUACCACUUUCCAAAGAGAAUAUUUCGACCCUUAUAAGUCUUGGGUUACACGAAAUCUCUCCCGAGGAUACGACUAUCACCACUCUUAUUCUUAGACUCAAGAGAUAAGAGUAAAAUCUUGAAAACCUUUGGAGAAAGAUUACUCCAUAACUUUUAUUAUCAACGUACUUUCAUUUGUUGAAUGCUUUGUGUAGUGUAUGGAGAAUGCAUAUAACAUUGGUGUCCCCUUUCUCCAACCCACUCCACCCCUAUUUGUACUUGGGAUGGUCUUCCAUAUUCAUCCCUUUAUGAAGGGUGUGUCCAUCCAAACAAAAAGGGAGGGAAAAUGUGUUGUUUGGCCAUUUUUGAAUGGUGUCUUUUAGUUCAAAUCAAAAGAUAACUAACCUUUUUGGAGAGAAAAGGAGGGUGACGAUCCAUAGGGAUAUAACCAUCCUUAUCCACUCAAAUUUUAACUCAAAUAGGAGUGGAAAUUUCGUCACAUCAGGUGGGAAGACAAGCUUUCACCUACACUUCUCACUAGCUCACUUUAGCUCCCGAAACUGUGUCACUACCUUCUGAGCUCAACUUGAGCUUGGUAUUCUUUAGUGAAACUCUGCUAACUCAUUUCCAACUUAGCUCAAAGUUUUUUGAGCUAAUGUUAACUAGAGUUAGCUAGGAUAAUCAUGAGUUAAGCCAUGAUUAGCUGAGGUAGAGCCAUCACUACCACAAGGCAAGUGUUGCUACUACUCGUACCUAAUCAUAAGCUUCUCAAACCUAAUUAGAGCUACUUAAUGAUUGUAAUAACAAUAAUUAAGUCACCAUGAGCUACUCAUAGCUUAAAUGAAUAAUCAUAAAGCUACUAUCACAUAGCUUUGAGCUACACUUAGGUGCGUAAAGUCAUCAUGAGCUAACUCUAGCUACCAUGAGAUGUUUCUAGCUGCUUUGAGCUAACUUUGAUUUACUUCUAGCUCUGUUGAGCUAGUACCAAGCAAUCAAGUUCCUCCUCCAUGCUUAUUCAAACUUCAUUGAGCUACUUAUCAAGUACUUCAACCCGCAACAUUACAACAUAAUGUUAUAAACAACCAAAAUCGAGUUUAAGCAACUAAAGUUACUAAAUCUCCCAAUGUUACUUUUGAUCCAAGUAAGAUUGAACCAUGUUACUUUAAGUUCAAGUAACAUAAUAUCCAACAGUUACUAUCAUUAAAGGAGAUAAGAUGACGAACUUUGUCUCUAGCAUGCAAAAUUCUCUUCCAAACCCAAGAAUGAUAAGUAGCUGCAGUACAUCUCAGAAAAAGGCUUCCUCUUAAGUCUGUACUCCUUCAUCCAAACUAUCCAAAGAGAGCCCGAUUGCAGAAGAAUACUUCAAACAUGCCUAACAAUACAUGCCAAAUUCCAAUUAAUCAAAUUCCUAACCCAAAGCCCACCUUGAUUCAAGGGUAUGGUUGCAAAUUUCCAAUCAACCUUUGCUCUUUUCCCACCCCUUCACCCACAUUUCAUAGGAAAUCGUUGCAAACUUUUUCCACAGUCUUUAUCACAAUUUUAGAAAGGAGGAAAACUGAGAAUCAAUAUUGACUCAUUGGAUUCAGAACUGAGUUUACCAAUUGAAGCCUACCAGCGUAGCUAAAAACCUCAACUUUCCAAUUAUUAAUUCUAGCUGUGAUUUUUCCAACAACCACAUCACAGUCCCUCGUUGAGAGUUUACCUGAGAUGAGUGGUGCUCCCAAGUAUCUGACAGGGAGGUGCCCUUCCUUGAAGCCUAUAGAAUCAAUAAUGGCUUGCCUCAUAUUCAAAUCAACUAAAAUCGAGAAGAAAAUCCCUACUUUUUCUGGGUUGAGCUUCAGACUAGAAUAUCUGUAAAAAUCAUUCACCACUUCACAAAUGUCAUGAACUCCUUCUUUUGUCCCAUUAGUAAACAUCAAUAAAUCAUCAAUAAAGUAGAGUUGGGUGAUUCCAAACUUCUUACACUUGUUAGAGAAUAUUACCUUUGUUAGCAGCAUCCACCACCAAAUAAUGAAGCAGUUUCAUUGAGAUGACAAACAAAGCCGGUGACAAAGGGUCACCUUACCUUAGAACUUUGCCUCUUUCAAAAUAACCCACUAAACCUCCAUUGAUAUCAACACUCAACAUAACUGAAUCAAGACAGCCUCUGAUCCAAUUAAUAAACUACAUGGAGAACCCCAUUGCUUGCAUCACAAUCAUCAAAUACCUCAAAUCCACUGAGUGAAAGGCUUUCCUUAAGUCAAUUUUUACAACACAUCUUGGAGAGACAUUAUUGAGAUGAUAGGCGUUUACUAAAUCAUGCGCAAGUAAAAUGUUAUCACCAAUCAUUUUUCCUUUUACAAAUGCUGAUUGAGUAUUACUAAUGACCUUGGGAAGGAAAUUCACCAUUCUUCCUACGAAGAUCUUCACAAUCACUUUAUACAGAACAUUGCAACAAGCAAUAGGUCUAUAAUAUUUGAUAUUAGUAGCAUUGAUCUUCUUCGGAAGGAGAAUAAGAGCAGUGGAAUUCACAACACUAGGCAGUUUACCACAAGAGAAGAACAUCUUGAUCACUUCAACAACAUCAUCCCUAAUCAGAUCCCAAGCAUCCUUAAAGAAACCGGCUGAAUAACCAUCUGGACUAGGGCUCUUUCCAUCAGGAAUAUGGAAGAGAGCAUUUAUGAUUUGCUCCAAAUUAACUGGUUCACAAAUGGACUUAGCACGCUCAUCUGACUGUUUCUUGCAUAACAAGCCAUUUAUAGAUUUCACAAAAUAAUGCAGUACUUCUGUAUUGACCUCUCCCAACAGGUUCUUAUAAAAAUUGAUUGCAAUAUUUAAAAUGUCAUUAAUGUUUGUAACCAUCUCACUCGUGGCAUCUUCCAUCUGAAAAACUUGAUUUCUCGACUACCUCACCUUUAUGGAAGAAUCCCCUAACUUCAACCAUUUCCCCCUACUUUUUGCUUCAAGAAAGCUUCUUCAACAACCUUCAACUCCAACCAUACUACAUAACUUUCUUUUGCUUUUAGCAUAUUUUCAGCAUUAGGAUCAGUAAGCAUUACACAUUAAUCAUUCUUCAUAAUUUGCUCAACAGCGACCACUCUAUUGCUAAUUCAAAAAAAAGCCUCCUAUUGAACUGAUUGAGAGCAUUUUUAACAUUACGAAGACAACUAUAGACUCUCUCAAACCCUCUUUUAUGAAAACAAGCAUCAAAAGAAUAUCAUGUAUGAGUGAUAGUUUCCUUAUAUCCCACACUUUCAAUCCAAAAGUUGAAAAUUUGAAAGGCUUAGGGAUAUUUCUAAGAUUGAGCUCAGUAUCAAGCAAGAUUUCACAAUGGUCAGAAAUCCCUGGCUCAAUCAUCUCCACUCUACUACUAGUAAAAUCAUUUAACUAGUAAGCAUUAACAAAACAUCUGUCCAAUCUCCUAACAAUAGGGUCAUCAAUCCUAUUAUUAUGCCAUGCAAAGAAAGAACCAGCAACAUAGUGAUCUUCAAGGUUAUUACUAUUAAUCCAACUCUGAAAUUCUUGCAUCCCAUUUGUAACACUUACUUCGGUAGAGGCUUCAUUCGGGGAAGCAAUCACAUUAAAAUCUCCUAAAAUUGCAAGGGGAAGAUCGGUAGGUAACCUUCCAAGGCUUUGGUUGUACAUCCUACUUCUUUCCAAAGGCUUAUUUGCCCCAUAAACCAUACAAAAAUGGCUUUGCUCCUUCAAUUAGUUCACAAGAGAAGGCUUAAAUGUAAAGGUUUGUAUCCUUAAAGACAAAGAUGAUAUAUGCCCAGAGAAUAUUGUCAUAAAUUUGGAUGGUCAGCGUAUCUCUAUACCAAUUGAAAUUCCCCAAAAAAGAAUUUAUGAAGUAAGGAAACAAGCACCACAACAGAAGCAAUAGAGGCCGAAGACCCAGCCAAUCACUUUUUUGUCUGCUGGUCAAGCUGAGGGAGUUAGUGAUGAACCUUCUUUGCAAGGAAAGUCACCGUCCCUCACCGAAACUAAUGAGACAAUGGCUGGAGGGGUUGAAAACACUGAGGUUGACACUUCUAAAGUGGAAACUGGUGAAUGUGAUUAGCAAACAUUGUUAGCUGAAACUUCCCAGCAAGUGGAGACUACGUACUUGUACCAUAAGGAUCCGUUGACCGGGCAUAUUAAAGAGGUGAUUACUUUUGUGGUUCAUAAUGCUUUAAAAAGACACCAUUGAUGAAUCUGCACAAGAAAUUGAGAAAGAAAAGAUAAUUGUUGAAAAUCCUGAUGUUCUUCAUUAUUGCAUACUCUUAAAGAUUUUAUAGUGAAGGGAAGUAGAUCCCCUACAAAAAGUAAGAGGGAUAGAAAAAGAGGAAAAAUAAUUUGAUGAAAGUUCUAAUAUGAAAUCAGAGGGGGUUUAACUCCCCCACAAAGCAUAGUUAUAUAAAUAGUUAUAUAAAUAAGUAUAAUAUAGAUAUUGUAGGUAUUAUAGAGAUUAGAGUAAAGAGUAGUAAAGCAGAGAAAAUUUUGAAGAUUAAAUUUGCUAUUUGAAAGUUUUUUAUAAACUAUGAUUGUAACCCCUUGAGAAAAAUCUGGAUUAUCUAAAGAGAUUAUAUUCAGCUUCAAGUUUUGAAUCAUUCUGAGUAGUACAUUCUUAUAAAAAUAGAGGAAAAUUAAAUUAAAUUGAAAAAAAAAGAAGAAAAACAGAAAAUCUGAAGUUACUUUAUUGCCCCUCUAACUCAAACUUCAGCACCGGAAUCCUUCAACAGUAUACGCCGGGCCUCAUGUCCAUAGGUUUUUGCCAAUUUAAGAUAAAAAUCAAAACUAAACUUCCCCAGAAGCACAACACUUCCCAAGUUCCCCUGUUGUUAUUUGUUAGUAUGGAUAAGAGGCUCUCACGAGUCCAACUACCAAUUGUAUGUAUGUUGUUAUUGGGUCAUAAAUAUCCUGAUUUGUCAAAUUAUAUGUGUUGAACUUGUGAUUCAUUUAUCUCUACAAAAAUAUCAACUAGGGAUUGAAAUUGGAGAUAGAAAAAGAAAGAGAAACCAAUUCAAUUCAUCCUAUAUAAUGAUACCUCAAAAUUUCAUCUCGUAAUUACAACAGUAAAUACUAGAUAUGAUAACAAUAAAUAAGAGAUGCGAAUUCCGAAGUCCAGAAAGUAGAAUUAAGAUAGAAGGGAAAAAAAACCAUUUCGAAAUCCAGAAUUGAUUGCUAAAAUUAAUGAUUCCCGGAAAUUACGCGGAACCAUUGGAUCACUUGCAAAAGAAUUAAUAUCUCGUAUAUAUCCAGCUUCCGGCUACCAAACAACUCCGUCAGCCAAACUGUAAAGAACAAGUUUGUUGAGAGAGACUACUUGAGCUUGGAUUGUGGCAAAACUUAGCUCAAGGACCUAUGAAUCACAAGUUGAAGGAGCAAGAUGACUGAUCUCCAAACAUAGAAUCCAUCUACAACCAAAGGACAAGCAUGCUGCAAGCCAUAUCAAGCAAAACCAAGCAGGUAAGCUUCAACUUGGGAUUAAAAAUAUGUUUGACUAACUCGAUCAUUAUUAAACUUACAUUAUGUAAUUUUUUUAACUAGAUGCAACUAGUCUAUUUCUCAUUUAUGACCAUACGAUAUUCAAAAACAUCAAUUGCAUGCAUGUUAGUGGCAUCAAUAGCUCAACAAUGAAUCAAAUAAAAAAACAUUGUACACACCAAAACACAUAUGCGCUCAAUGUUAGCUAGGUAGUCAAUUAUAAAGUGUUUGUGGUCUACCUCCUUAAAUACGACAUAAUUCAUAUCAACAUUAAGUAAGUAGUAUGAGUGGGAUUGAAUUUGGAGAUAGAAAAAAGGAAAAUCAAUCCAAAAACAUCAUAAUGAUAUUGAUAGCUCAAACUCUUUUCCAAUAGUGAGAACCGCAAAUACAAGAUCUGACCAUAAUAAAUAAAAAAUACGAAUUCUGUACCAUAGAAUUUUAGCAUAAAAAAAAGAAAUCGUUUCAAAAUUGUGAAUCUAUUAUUAAAUUAAUGAUUUCCAAAAAGUAUGGGAAGCCAUUGGACCACUAUUUUUUUUAAAAUCUCGUAUAUAUCCAACCUCCCGCCACAGAACAACUCCGUCGGCCAAAGAACAACUUUUUGAGAGAUUACUUGAGCUUGGAUUGUCGCAUGGAGAACUUAGCUUAGGGACCGAUGAAUGACAAGUUGAAGGAGCAAGAGGACUGAUCUCAAGACAUAGAAUCCAUCUACUGCAAAUUUUCACUACCAAAACACAAGCAAGCCAUUACCAGUAAAACCACAGAUUCCAAGGAGAAAUAGUCAUUGGGUAAAAGUACAGCACAAAUCAAGUUCACCAGGUAAGCUUCAACUUCUAAUUAACUUGAUCAUGAUUAAGUUUACCGUUUGUAAUGUCUUCUUCACAGUUUACCUAUUUUUAAUCGUAAAAUUCUAAUCAAGUCCAUUAUAAAGUACAUUAUAGUGGAGUCAAUAGUUCAAUAAUGAAUCAAAUAAAAUAAUAUUUUAUACAUCUAAAGACAUUUCUGCCUAAUACUAAUUAAGUAAUCAAUUACAAUUACAGAGUUAUCUCAGUUGAUAUGAAUGAUUUUGAUCUUUCACACCUCUUUUAACAAUUUUUAAACCUGCACAAUCACCGUAGAGCAUUUGUGAUUUGCCUAGCUCCUUCACUCAAAUCGAAUUGUAAUCAUACUUUUCGAUAGCCUCACAUCCAAAUUAGAUUAAAAUUUCUUACAGCAGCCCUCAAUUUUGCAAGCUAAAACACUCCUAAAGAAAUAAAUUUUGUGACUUUGAUGAGAAUGGUUGAGGAAAACAAGAAAUCAGAAAAGGUCCCGCAAAACAUAAUAUUUAUCCUCUUUGGGUUUUGUCACAUUCAGUCCAUUUCAUUUUCUUUCUGCAACUUUUUCCCAGGAAACUGAGCUCUCUCUCCUUUAACCCGUUUCAGAUUCUCCAAGCUGAAAGAAAUAGCAGUACAAACACUUCUGUAGAAAAAGUUUCCUUUUUUAUAUUUUAUUCAUUUUGGGUCUGCGUGUGAAUAGUACUGCUUCAUCUUUCUCAUGAAGCCGUCUUUUUAGAUCUACUUGUGUGUGUGAGACAAUUGGAAGUUACUGUGUGCGAGAGAAGAAGGGUCAGAGUGGAGCUACAGAGAAAGAAGGUAACAGAAAAAGGAAACAAUCCACCUUCUUCUCUAAAACUACUCAAACCCUAUUACUCAUUCAAAUUCAUCCACCCUUUCUGCUUUGUUACGAAUUGUUUCAUUUCAUUGGUGGGUUGCUGGGUUUCAUUUGUGUUUUUUCUUUUUCUUUUUUGCAAUUUGACCUUAUGGAAGUCCUUGAAAUGGAGGUGCUUUCUAUUUGUCUCAUUUGGUGUGAUGGAUUGGUUCGGAUGGACGAUUCUUCACAGUCGUCGAUUUCUUGAUCAGUGGUGUUUAUGUUUCUGAAAAGUUGUCAUCUUUGGUCAAUUGAUGUCAUUUGAUUGAAUCUGCUGGUGUACUAGUUGAUGUAUCAUUUUUUCCGGCCAAUGGGGAACUUUUAAUGAGUAGCUGUUAUAUUAGACGGCUGCUUGUUUUGGCUUGUUGGCGAUAGUUUCAAAAAAAGUCAUAAUUUCCUGACUUGUAGGAGAUAAAGGCGAACAACCUUUGUUGAGGAGAAGAUUGCUAGCUUCCUAUGGUUCAUCAAUUCUCUGUGUUGUUUCAAUCUGUUAAUCAGUAAAGUUAGAACUUGUCAUUAGAGUGCAGUCCAUUUGGCUGGCUUAUACUUACUUAGUUGGUCUCUUAUCUCUACAUUACAUUGCUAAUUAGAAAGUGGUCCUUUGAUUUUCACCUUUUUCGUUGUUGUGUUGAAUUCAUCAGGGCUAAUACAAUAACGGGGUGAUAAAUCUCCUCAUCAGUGGCAGAAGUUCCAUUUGAGUUGGAUUAAAGUAUUUGUCAUGGUCAGGAGAUGAACAUAAUAUUUUAUACGGCAUCUUGUUUAACUUGCGGCAGUAAUCAAGUUAUCUCAGAUACAAUAGUUCGGUUCGUGUCUGAUGAUCACAGCUAGUGAAAGAGCUGGCUAGCAGAUGUCCAUGCUACAACUAUUACAUGAGGCGAUCUCAUCAGGGUUGAUUUGCUCAAUUGCAGCCGUGCGACUUCCUCCUGUAUAUAGUGUUAUUUAUCAAAGCCUGUAUAUACAUUUCUGAAACCGGUUAAGUCAUUGAUGCUCUUUUGGACGUUUAGCUGAGAGUUGGGAGAUUCCUCUGUUACAUUGAGGUGCUAAGUGUCAAACUGCAGCUGCGAUCACUUCAUUGCAGAGCUAUUUGGCAUAAUGAAUUCAGAAUCUGGAAAUGCUAACCAUAUAUUGGGUGUUCUUGGGAGGCUUCUUCCUGCCGUUGGACCCACGCUAUUGAUUUCAGUAGCAUAUGUUGACCCUGGGAAGUGGGCAGCCACUGUGGAAGGUGGUGCCCGUUUUGGAUUCGAUCUGAUCCUGCCAAUGCUCAUUUUUAAUUUGGCAGCAAUAUUGUGCCAGUAUCUGUCCGCUAAAGUCGGUAUUGUCACUGGUAGAGAUCUUGCUCAGGUACAAGUUCUGUUUUUCUGGUUUUUCUAUGGGCAGUAAUUUCUAACUGUUGCUUUCAUAUCUGUGGAUGAGUGCCAUAUUUGCCUCAUACAUAUGUUGAUUUGUAAUUCUUGCAUGCUAAACCUCAGCCUUAUUCAAAUGCUGUAGAUUUGCAGUGAGGAGUAUGACAAGGGAACAUGCAUGCUCUUGGGAAUUCAAGCGGCAGUUUCAGUGAUGGCAUUGGACCUCAGCAUGGUAGUCUUUCUUGUUCUUGGUAAAAAAAUCAUAUAUCUUUGUUGUUUCAGAAGAUAACCGUGUGUGGCGACAACAUAAAUGCUGAAUCUUGAUCUUAGAAGUGUUUGAGGGUUCAUCGAUGAAUGGAUAUACUUUCUUUUUCAGGUACUUGGAAUUGCACAUGGGCUUAAUCUUCUUCUGGGGCUGGACUUGCCCACCUGCAUAUUUUUGACUGCUGUGGAUGCUGUAUUAUUUCCAUUUUUCGGUGCCUUUCUGGUGAGUCAUUGUACCGUGUUUAGUAUGCAUCUUUAGAUAGAUAUGGAUCACUUAUUUUCACUAAUUUAUACUGCCAGGACAAACACAAAGGAUAUUACCCAUCCAUAUGUGUGGCAGGCUCUUUGUUACUCUUCUAUUUUUUGGGGGUGCUCAUUAGUCAACCAGAGGCUCCUCUUUCAUUGAAUGGAAUGCUGAUGAAGAUAAGCGAGGAAAGUGCAUUUGCUCUGAUGAGUCUUCUUGGUGCAAGCAUUAUGCCUCACAAUUUCUAUAUGCAUUCUUCCAUUGUUCUGGUACUUCUUUCUCUCCUCUUUCUUCCCUCCUUUUGGUGUAUGAGUAUUAUUAUACUGAGAUGACUUUGCAAUGAAUGAGAACCAUAUCAUUGAGCUAUAUGCUUCCUUUAUAUGCCUGGUGGUUUCUUUUAUUUUCACCUAUGCAUCUCAUGGAUGUACAGAUUAAGUGAAGAUGGAGUUUGGUAAUCAUAUGAUGUUAUUUCCCACUGUUAUUCUUGUACAAGUUUGUGGUCAACCGCAAAUAUUACAUCCUGUUAUUCGUGAUGAAACCCCGGUCUUACAGUGGUUUCAUAGUAGAUUCUAUCAUGAUUCUGAACUAUGUUCCUGGAAUUUUUUUUGCAGCAUCAUCCUCGAUCCCCCAAUGUUUCUAAGAGCACCUUAUGCUAUGAAAACUUCAUUGCCAUUUUAUGCAUCUUUAGUGGCAUAUAUAUGGUGAAUUAUGUGCUCAUGAACUCAGCUGCUAAUGUGUUCCACAGUACUGGCCUUGUUUUGCUUACAUUUCCGGAUGCAUUGUCACUCAUGGAGCAGGUACUGCUCUUUUUAACGUUUCAUCAUCUUCAACCCUGAUGGUAAGUUCAAUGUUGCAUCAUUAUAUUCUUGGAAUAAUUUAUGUGUAGGUGUUUCGCAAUCCAGUGGCACCCUUGUUCUUUGUAGUGAUUUUGUAUCUUUCGAGUCAAAUCUCAUUAUUAACUUGGAAUCAUGGCGGGCAAGUAGUUGUGCAUGAUUUCCUCCUACUUGACGUACCUAACUGGCUCCAGCGAGCCACAACCAGAAUUGUUGCCAUUGUUUCGGCACUUUGUUGUGUAUGGACUUCUGGAGUUGAAGGAGCAUACCAGUUGCUCAUAUUUUCUCAAGUUAUGGUAGCCCUUCUGCUACCAUCUUCUGUCAUUCCACUAUUCCGUGUGGCAUCAUCGAAGGCCAUAAUGGGCGGCCAUAAAAUAUCUCAAGUCCUGGAGUUCUUGGCAGUUAUCGCAUUCUCGGGGAUGCUGGGAUUGAAGAUGAUGUUUGUGGUAGAAAUGAUUUUCGGGGAUAGUGAUUGGGUCGGCGAUUUGCAGUGGAAUAUGGGCAGCAGUUCAUCUCUCCCUUAUGUUGUUCUUAUUCUAACGGCUUUUACAUCAUUCUGUUUCAUGCUUUGGCUAGCAACUUCACCGUUGAAAUCUGCAACCCAUAAAGACGCUCAGGCAUGGAACUGGGAUUCAAAGCAAAGUUUGUCCAAGCCAUCUGUACGUAGAGAUGAAGAAAGGUAUGUUCAUAAGCAAGAAGCGGUACCAGUCCUCGUGAAGCCCUUUGAGGAUAGAACUGUUGUAAAUGCUGAUCCACAUUUACCUGAAACUGGUUUGGAUUUUCGCAAGGAUAUUCGUUCGAGAACUGUAGUAGAAAAUCAGUCUGAUGUGAAAAUUUUGAAUCCUCUGAGACCAGAUCAGUCUGAUGUGAAAUGUCUGAGUCCUCUGAGACCAGAUCAGUCUGAUGUGAAAAAUCUGAGUCCUCUGAGACCAGAUCAGUCUGAUAUGAAGCUUCCUAGUCCUGUGGAACCAAAUCUGGAGUCGGCACCUUCAGUAGAGCCGAUGUCAGUGUCAAAGGCAGCAAAUUUAGCUGUUACUGAACUUGAAUUACUUGAACCUAUUGAAAAAACUGUGAGCAUGCACGGUGAUCCUUGUGAACCAGAAAAGGAGCAAAACAAGGGAGUUACCUGGGAGCCUGAAGAGCCAUCCAAAGGGAUUCCUGCGAGUAUUCCAUCUUUGACAUCUGAUGGUCCAUCAUCAUUCAGGAGUCUCAGCGGAAAAAGCGACGAUGGUGGAUAUGGUGCUGGAAGUCUUUCAAGAUUGGCAGGGUUGGGUAGGGCUGCCAGACGUCAAUUAGCUACAGUUCUGGAUGAGUGCUGGGGCCAGUUGUAUGAUUUCAGGGGUCAAGAAACGCAGGAUGCCAAGAAUCGAAGGCUCGAUCUGUUACUUAUUGAUUCAAAGCUUUCAUUUUCCUGCCUGAAAGUUGACUCUCCUAUAAUGGAAGGAUCUGGAUCUUUCAGGAGUUCAAGUUUCUGUGAUUCUCCUCGUGAUUAUGGUGCUCGAGGAGGAUCUUACUCGUUAUUAUCCAACCGCUCUCACUUACUAGAUUCACUUUCUGUAGCCAGCUCGGGUAUGGUGGAUCCUUCUGAAAGGCGGUAUUCUAGUCUGCGAACUUUAUCGUCUGCUGAUGGUUGGGGGAGUACGCAAUCAGCUGCAGUACCUGUGAUGGACCCUUCUGAAAGGCAGUAUUCUAGUUUGCGAAAUCUACCAUCUUCUGAUGGUUGGGGAUAUGGUCAGCCAGCCACGAAUGUGAUGGACCCUUCUGAAAGGCGUUACUCAAGUGUACGAAAUUUACCAUCUUCUGAUGGUUGGCAGAAUACUCAGGCAGCUAGAAAUGUGAUAGACACUUCUGAAAGGCGUUAUUCUAGUUUGCGAACACUAGCAUCUUCUGAUUAUCAGAUUGCUUCCAUUGCUAACCGGAUUGCCGAGGAGAGGAGUUCCAGUGACUUGAAUGGCGGAAUGGAAUCUAUGUCGCCAAUUUCUUCAGCCAUGGGUAUGCAGAGUUACAGGGAUCCACUGGCAAGUCCUUUGGGGCAGAGAUUACAGAGCGGAUUAAGCUCUCUACAAGCAACGGGAUAUCAGAAUUUCGCAGUAUCCAGAAAUAGCUCAUUACAGUCUGAAACACAGUACUAUUAUGCAGGACAGACGACUGCUUCAAAGCAGUACCACAGUUUACCUGACAUUUCAGGAAUUGCUGGGCCUUACAGAGAGAUGUUUCUAUCUAGAAACCCUACUCAGCCGGACGGUUCUGGUGGUUUUACUUCCUCCUUGGGCAGAACGGCUUACGAGAACUCCUCUUUGUAUCCAAAUACCGGAAUAGGAAAUGCAAGCUCUUUGGAGUUUAACAACGUGUCCAGAAGUUAUGGAGGUGUUUUUCCAUUUCCUACAACCACUACUAGUACUACUACCACAGGCACAGGAUCUCUUUGGUCCUCGUCUAAUCCGAUUGCUCGUGAAGCUAGUUCCAUUGUGGAUGCGGAGGCGAAACUUCUUCGGUCUUUCAGAUCCUGCAUUGUCAAGCUACUGAAACUGGAAGGCUCGAAUUGGUUGUUUAGACAGAACGAUGGAGCUGACGAGGACUUGAUUGAUCGUGUGGCUGCACGUGAGAAGUUCUUAUACGAAGCUGAGGUGAGAGAGAUGGCCCCGAAGAAUGAUGAGAAGCACAGUUCCUCCCCGAAGAACGAUGAGGCCAGCAUCGCCAAUAUCUUCGUUUCUUCAAUUCCUCACUGCGGAGAUGGCUGUGUUUGGAAGGCGGAUAUGAUAGUUAGCUUUGGAGUUUGGUGCAUUCACAGGAUUCUCGAUUUGUCGCUAAUGGAAAGCCGGCCCGAGCUAUGGGGGAAGUACACCUAUGUCCUCAAUCGCCUUCAGGUUAGUUUCCUAUGAACUAUUUGUCUAAAAAUGCUUGAACUUCGUUGAGAUUCCUUCCUAAUGAAAGAAAUGUGCUUUUUGGUCCUUCCUAAUGAAAGAACUGUGCUUUUUGUGCCUUCCUAAUGAAAGAAAUGUGCUUUUCGUUGGGUACAGGGGAUUGUGGAGCCGGCAUUCUUGAGACCAAGGACUCCAAUGCAGCCAUGCUUCUGCCUGCAACUCUCUGCAGGGCACCAGCAGAGGUUGUUGGCCCAGCCACCAUCGAACAACGGUAUGCUACCACCCAUUGCGAAACCAGGGAAAGGGAUAUGCACAACUGGGGCAAUGGUCCUAGAGAUGAUCAAGGAUGUCGAGAUAGCGAUUUCGUGCAGGAAAGGCCGGUCGGGGACUGCUGCCGGGGAUGUUGCAUUCCCAAAGGGAAAAGAGAACCUGGCAUCGGUCUUGAAACGGUACAAGCGACGCCUUUCGAACAUGCCGGUGGGGAAGUGAAGUAAAAUGACAAAAUGAGAAGGCCUCGCAGAUAAUGUUUUGAAGUUGGUGGGUUAUAACUGAGAUUAUUGUUAAGAAAUACUUGUUUUUUUGGUCUCUGGUCUCGUCUUUUGUCCUUACGGUUAGUCUUUUAUAUAUGGCAGGUGUACAUAGGUUUUACCAGAGAGUAUUGUAGCAAUAAAGAGCUGUUGAUGGACUGAAAUAGCAUAUCUGAGAGUGUUGGAACUGUAGAACUUCAUACUAGUACUUGCCCGAGCUUAUGCUAAGGCUUCGUUUGGUAGGUGGAAUGGUGGAUGAAAUUUGAAUGAGAAUUGGGAAGUUUGCUUUCAUAAUAUACUUUGUUAGAAUCUAAAAAUUUCAUCCGGUUGAAAAAUGUU